rnacentral:rRNA from 1 species
GACGAACGCUGGCGGCGUGCCUAAUACAUGCAAGUCGAACGCUUUUUCUUUCACCGGAGCUUGCUCCACCGAAAGAAAAAGAGUGGCGAACGGGUGAGUAACACGUGGGUAACCUGCCCAUCAGAAGGGGAUAACACUUGGAGACAGGUGCUAAUACCGUAUAACGCUAUUUUCCGCAUGGAAGAAAGUUGAAAGGCGCUUUUGCGUCACUGAUGGAUGGACCCGCGGUGCAUUAGCUAGUUGGUGAGGUAACGGCUCACCAAGGCAACGAUGCAUAGCCGAACUGAGAGGGUGAUCGGCCACACUGGGACUGAGACACGGACCAGACUCCUACGGGAGGCAGCAGUAGGGAAUCUUCGGCAAUGGACGAAAGUCUGACCGAGCAACGCCGCGUGAGUGAAGAAGGUUUUCGGAUCGUAAAACUCUGUUGUUAGAGAAGAACAAGGAUGAGAGUAAAACGUUCAUCCCUUGACGGUAUCUAACCAGAGAGCCACGGCUAACUACGUGCCAGCCGCCGCGGUAA